UACGUAGGGUGCGAGCGUUGUCCGGAAUUACUGGGCUUAAAGAGCUCGUAGGUGGUUUGUCGCGUUGUUCGUGAAAACCGGGGGCUUAACCCUCGGCGUGCGGGCGAUACGGGCAGACUUGAGUACUGCAGGGGAGACUGGAAUUCCUGGUGUAGCGGUGGAAUGCGCAGAUAUCAGGAGGAACACCGGUGGCGAAGGCGGGUCUCUGGGCAGUAACUGACGCUGAGGAGCGAAAGCGUGGGGAGCGAACAGG
rnacentral:rRNA from 1 species